AUUGAACGCUGGCGGAAUGCUUUACACAUGCAAGUCGAACGGCAGCACGGACUUCGGUCUGGUGGCGAGUGGCGAACGGGUGAGUAAUGUAUCGGAACGUGCCCAGUCGUGGGGGAUAACGUAGUGAAAAUUACGCUAAUACCGCAUACGAUCUAUGGAUGAAAGAGGGGGACCGCAAGACCUCGCGCGAUUGGAGCGGCCGAUAUCAGAUUAGGUAGUUGGUGGGGUAAAGGCCCACCAAGCCAACGAUCUGUAGCUGGUCUGAGAGGACGACCAGCCACACUGGAACUGAGACACGGUCCAGACUCCUACGGGAGGCAGCAGUGGGGAAUUUUGGACAAUGGGCGAAAGCCUGACCCAGCCAUUCCGCGUGCAGGAUGAAGGCCCUCGGGUUGUAAACUGCUUUUGUACAGAGCGAAAAGGUUUCUACUAAUACUAGGAGCUCAUGACGGUACUGUAAGAAUAAGCACCGGCUAACUACGUGCCAGCCGCCGCGGUAA
rnacentral:rRNA from 1 species